GCAGCUGCACGCCGGGGAGCGUAGUUCAGCUGCGUGCACACGGAGGGUAAGGGGUGGAGACCGACUUCUUGCACAGACAGAUAGCGACGGGACGAGGGGCGAUGGUUUUAGACUAAAAGAGGGAAGAUUUAGAUUAGCUGCUUGGAGGAAAUUUUUCAGUGAGAAAAGAGUGAGGCACUGGCUGCCCAGAGGCUGUGGGGUCUCCUCCUUGGGGAUCUCCAGCAGCCGUCUGGGCGUCCUGAUGGAGAGGGGGUGGCCCAGUGGGACCCAGAGGGUCCUGCAACCAAAAAACCACAUCAGCUAAACUCACCUUCCAUCUGGCGGCACGGUUGACUUAGAUAUCUAACUAGGCAGGUUCUUAUUCUGUGCCUGCUAAGGUAACACUAGCCCUUUGUUUUUCUUCCUGAUCGAGUUUGGGCAGUCUGCCAUGUUACCUGCAGGCAGCUUCAGGAACGGCUGUAAUUAACCCCAAUGCGCCCGUGAGGGGCUGGGGGCUGUCACGCUGCCCAAUUUGUGCUGCAGAGCACAGCCAAGAGCAGCCCCUGUGAGCAGCAGGAACAGGGACCUGUGCCCGAGCGUACCUGAGCACAGAGCAGUAGACUGCACAGUGGUAAGCCCUGGAAAUAAUUAACAGCCCGGGCACAUCAAGUGAGCACAGCUGGUAGGGGCCUUCCUUUAGCGAGAGCAUUAAUAGGUGUAAUAGCAUGGGAAUCGCACCCUCUGCAGUUCUCCAGUGCAUUCAGAGACAGCAGCCCCGGAGCGUCGUCUGUCUAAUCUCACAGUGACAGUCAUAAAGGGUGGAAGAGCCUUCACCAAGCACUAUGCCAACCGCUAAAUACUGGCAGCCCUUGGAAGUGCUGCACCAAGAAAGUCCGGGUGUUUUGUUUCAGAGGCACUUUACAGCAAGUUUGCACCUUGGCUUUGGAGGCUGACUCCAAUUUUGGUUUUGACUUCCUGUUCAUCGGAAAUAACAAUUGGUAAUGACCUCCAUUACAUGGCAUUAGAGCAUUCUGGCAUCCUAAUUAACUUGUAAAAUUCAGCCCAGAGUACUUAAGUAAAUAAUUCAAUAGGAUUCACAAACACAGCAUGCAGAACUCAAAAGAAAAAGUAUCAUUCCUUCCAGUCCUGUGUAAUGAAAGGCUACGACCGCCUUCCUCCUACGCAGUCUUUAAAAAGCACGAUGAGCUGCCUGCUUAUUGCUGCUCACAGAGCCAUUGUUAAGGUCGACACUGGCGUGCCUGUUGUUGGGAAUGCCAGCAUCCCCAGGAGGCAAGUAAGGAAAUGGAGUCAGCAAUGCUGAAACGAGGGUUGCAAAGGAGGCAUGUGGCAGAGCAAGGAUGUAGGACUCUGUAUCUCCAGACCAAGCACCAUAAUCAUGAGAUUUUCUUUUUUAAAAAUCUCUCCAUGGUAAAUCACUUUUAUUUCAACACGUUUUUGGUGGUAGGGCUGGCAGGGGGACACAUGACAGUGCAGGACUUUCACCUAUUCAGAAUUGUACAAUUUAUCAGCGUUGGCUCCGCCAACAAUACAAGGUCAGUCCUGUGGGCCUAGGGAGGUGUAAGAAAGGAAAGGUUGUGGAGGGACAGACAAGGGAAAGGCUGCGUACUAAAAGGGUCUGACUGCCUGACUGUGAUGGCAGAUGUUGGCAUUUUUAGAUCAAGUUCCUUUUCAUUUCCAGAAAAAGUAUUUUACAAUUUUGUCCUUAUGAUAUGAAGAAACUUGAGUAAAUAUGAUCCCAGGCACUUAAAAAUUAUCUAUCACUGUGUCUUUUUCACCAUCUUUACAGGCUGCCCAGGGCAGUGGGCACGGCCUCGAGCUGUUGGAGUUCAAGGAGCAUUUGGACAAUGUUCUCAGACAUAGGGUUUGAUUUUUUGGGUGCUCCUGUGUGAGGCCUGGAGUUGGACUCAGUGAUCCCUGUGUUCCUUUGCAACUCGGGCCAUGCCUGGCAUAUUUGGCUCCAUCUUCCAAAUAUGGAGCCAAAUAUGGAAGAUGGAAAGAGAUUGUGCAGGAACAAGGACUGAUAACACCUGAUAACUGCUGUUAACAUCUACUUGAUGCAACCAGUUAAAAAUACAGACACCUAUCAACAGUCCAACAUCUGCUCCAUGUGUUCUGAGGUCCUUUAGAGAAAGAAGGAUGUAGCUCAAGAGUCAAGAAGCACAGAAGUCUGCCAAAUAGCUUGGAAUAACUAGAGGGGAAACAAGUUACAACCCAAUGUAAGUGAAGAAUGUCAUUUUUUGUUUCUAAACUUCUUGUCCAUGCAAUUUCCAUCCUCCACAGAAUCUCUCAAAAUCUAUCAGUAGGUUUCCUCCAUUUUCUCAUAAUUCUCCUGCAAGAAAAGUUCUAUGUACGUGGUGUUCCCCAGCUGUCUGCAAACAAUUGGUUUGAGCAGUUUCCAAGAGCAAGGCUGGAAGAGAAGGUUGAUGUGUUGGACCCAACAACAGGAGCUGCUGAAGUCUCAAUUGCCUGCAGUUGCUUUCAUUCCCAGUUUGCAGGAGCCCACAGCCCUCUGCCCGAGGUGGUGGCUGACCACUCGUUCAUGCCCCUGCAAGGGUGCGAUGGCUGUGGCCACAGGUUUAAGUAAUUCAUGUGAAUCACUUAAACAUUAACUAGUCUAUAUAAAUAUUUAGCUACUAAGAGCCAGAAUGAUAUGAUGGGCCUUCUCUUUUGCCAAAAGUAAUGCUGAGCGUCAGCAGCUUAACUCCAGAAGAGGGAAUAAGGAGAGUAAAGCAGCACUUAAGGUAAAAGCCUUUUCCUGGAGUUGUGUAACAUUUUCCAUGGAUUUUAUUUUUGAGAUGUUUUGCAAGCUACGAAUGGCAAGAGAUCCAAGAACUAAUACAUACAUCCACUUAUGAAAAGGUCUGAGUGUUCUCAGAAUGAUCUUCGAUUUUCAAGCAAUUAAGGUUUCAGAUGAGACAAUAAAAAAACCCCUUAAAUCCUAUACUCAGAUGCAGCUGCUAUCAAAUAACUAUCAAUUUAUAACACUUUCAGAGGCCAUUACAAGAGAACUGGGGCUGUGCCUGUGCCCAAAAUAGCACGUUGGUUUUUACACUGAUUACCUCAGAUUCUUAAGAAGCCUACAGGCAUUCAACCGACAGCAAAAAGAAUAAAUGAUUUGCUAAUACCAAAGAGCAUCUGAUUGUUGAAGCGGUAGCUAACUGAUGUCUAUUUUUCCACUUUGCUUUACUGCCCUCUGUCUUCAUUGUUCAGUCCAACCCAUGUCACUUCAUGUUUUGUUCAUUUCCACCCACAUUAGGAAGGAUGGAUUUGUUUGGUUUUUUUUUCCAGAAGGGCAUCAGGGGACCUAGUUUUUGAUACGGGGGACACGUAGUUUUGGCCUAUACUAAAGCAAAUCUUUUCAAAAGAGGUAUUAUGUACUGUGGCUGUUCUUCCAUGACAAAGGUCAGGAAUGCUAUUAUCGUGCCAGGAAAGUUAGAAGAGCAUUUAAGCGCAAGAGGUGUAAAGGCACCAAGACUGAACUGUGUUUAACAACUGAGUUUGCUUUUGCUGUCAUGAGACGGUUUCAUUUUUAUGGCUUUGUUAACAAAGCUAAAUUAGAACAUGAAAUGAAGUUGAGCAUUUCAAAAGCAACAGGUAGAAUGGAGACUGUUCACACUGUAGCAAGAAAGAGAAUGUGAGACUAGAAAUAGUCCAACGGAGACAUCCACUCCUUUGCUAAUCUGGUAGACUCUGGCUCCCCAAAAGUCUCACCUUCUGAAAUGAAAGGUUUGUGGAACAACAGUAAGGCUCCUACAGCACUGCUCAACUCAAUCUAAACUGCACUAAGGACUCAGAGAUUAAAGGCAGAAAUUGAAAACAAAAACAUUCUUUUGAUUCUGUAAUGUGCAGAGGAAACAAUCUUUUUGGCGGCAAAGUGUAGCCUCUUUCAACAAAAUGAUUUUCAGAGAAGCAUUCUCUGGAUUUAUAGAAGAGGAGUAGAACGUAGUUUAUGCCUGCAGCUGGGAGAUCUGCCUCUAGUUUUGGGUCUGUCGUGUCCUACGAUGAGAGAGUUAUAAAAGCAGCACCCUCACAGAUGAAGAGUCUGGCUCAACACAGCCAGGGCAGGGCUCAGCGGUAGAGCAAUGAAUGAGCAGAGAAGUGUGAGCGCAACUGCUAGAAAAAGCACUGAGUUACUCCACAGGCACCAGCUACUGCAAGGCUCGCCUCUUCUACUUUGCUUUGGCAUCAGCUAGGUGCCCUUACCAAUUUGGUAGUGCCUCUGUACCAACCCCUGGCCACAAGUGAUUUCAGAGCUGCGUAACACUGAUUUCUAUCUCGCUUGGUGCUGCCUGGCCCUCUGUCCCUUCUGUGCCAAUGUUCAGCAAGUAAGGAACAGAGGGGAAAGAUUCAUAGAUGGUUUAUUUGAUUGCAAAGAGAAAGGUUCCCCUACCACCACCCCCUACACCAGUAUUUCAGCUGGUAUUGCUUCCAACUUUUAUAAUUUUAUUUAAAAUAUGAGGCACUCCUCAUGAAAUGGUGGAUGUGUGUUUAUUCUUGUGGUUUCUCACCCUUUGGUUUGUGCUGAUGCAAGACUGAAGGCACUUACUGAAUGGUGGCUCAAGCUGUCCUCAUUUUCUGCUUAGCAGUUCUGCCCAGGUACUUCAGUAGCCAUCCUCUCUUCUGAUAAGCAGAAAAUUAUUACAUCCCCCCUUUUGUUCCACUGAACAAUAUCUUUCCAUCUUCCAGAAAAGGAACUUGAACAAAAUCAAUGGAAGAUGUGUCCUUUGACUUCACUGGCAGUAAGAAAGCUGGAUACACAGCUCAAAGUUAGAGGAGAAGAACAUGAAACACCAUGGGUCUUGUGAAAGCCAAGGUACAAAUGGCUUCAGUAUCCUGCAUAGAAGGGGUACUCCUUGUGUGUUUUGUCCCUGAAAGAAAUAAAAAAGGUUCUUUUCAUGACUAAAGCAAAUGUUAGAUAGAGAUGUGUUUGAUACAUGGAGGAGCAACCAUGGGAAGACUCUGUGGGACCCUGGGCAACCUGAUGCACAAGCUGGAGUGCUGGAACUAGAUGAUCUUAAAGGUCCCUUCCAACCCAAGCCAGUCUAUGACUCUGAAUCUCUUGACCCUAAGAUCUGCCUUCUCAUCCCUGAAAGACGGUAUUCAAGUUCAGCUUGAAAAGUAGCCAAAUUAUUCUUUCCCUUCCUUUAUGCACAUAUGCAUCUGAAAGUUGUUUAGAUUACAAGUUGAUUUUAAAUUUCAGACUUUCUUUUUUGACUUUUAUAUUCAUUUGUUCUUAGGUUAACUUCUUUUCACACCUUGAUUUUUUUUUUAAAUAAUAACAAUUACAAUUUUCAUUGUCCUCUUCUGUCCAUGCAAAAGCAUCCAUCACUUUUACUGUGUUCCAGAGACCACACAGCUACUGUACCAGAUCAUCUCUUGAAUACUACAGUAAGCAUCCCCAUGUUUUCUACCUUGCACCCAAGUAGCAUUUUCU